rnacentral:rRNA from 1 species
GAUGAACGCUGACAGAAUGCUUAACACAUGCAAGUCAACUUUGGCGUACGGGUGAGUAACGCGUAAAGAACUUUCCUCACUGAUAGGGACAACAUUUGGAAACGAAUGCUAAUACCUGAUACUGUGAGAGAGCUUUGCGUCCCAUUAGCUAGUGGGAGAGGUAACGUCUCACCAAGGCGAUGAUGGGUAGCCGGCCUGAGAGGGUGAUCGGCCACAAGGGGAAUGAGAGACGGCCCUUACGCCUACGGGAGGCAGGAGUGGGGAAUAUUGGAGAAUGGACCAAAGUCGGAGCCAGCAAUCCGGUGGGCACGAUGAAGGUUUGGGAAGGUAAAGGGUUUUAAGUGGGGAAGCGGUAACAACAGAAGAAGUGACGGCUAAAUACGUGCCAGCAGCCGCGGUAAUAC